UGGGGAAUAUUGCACAAUGGACGGAAGUUUGAUGCAGCGACGCCGCGUGGAGGGUGUAGGCCUUCGGGUUGUGAACUCCUUUUUCUCGCGAAAAAGGCACAGUUUUGGCUGUGUUGAUGGUAGUGGGGGAAGAAGCGCCGGCUAACUACGUGCCAGCAGCCGCGGUAAUACGUAGGGCGCGAGCGUUGUCCGGAUUUAUUGGGCGUAAAGGGCUUGUAGGCGGUUUGUCGCGCCUGUCGUGUAAUCCUCUGGCUUAACUGGGGGUGUGCGGUGGGUACGGGCAGGCUUGAGUGCGGUAGGGGAGAUUGGAAUUCCUGGUGUAGCGGUGGAAUGCGCAGAUAUCAGGAGGAACACCGGUGGCGAAGGCGGGUCUCUGGGCCGUUACUGACGCUGAGGAGCGAAAGCGUGGGGAGCGAACAGG
rnacentral:rRNA from 1 species